AACGUAGGAGACUAGCGUUAUCCGGAUUUACUGGGCGUAAAGCGUGUGCAGGCGGUUCGGCAAGUUGGAUGUGAAAUCUCCCGGCCCAACUGGGAGGGGUCGUUCAAUACUACCGAACUUGAGGGCAUCAGAGGAAGGUGGAAUUCCGGGUGUAGUGGUGAAAUGCGUAGAUAUCCGGAGGAACACCAGUGGCGAAGGCGGCCUUCUGGGAUGCUCCUGACGCUCAGACACGAAAGCUAGGGGAGCGAACGGG
rnacentral:rRNA from 1 species